rnacentral:rRNA from 1 species
CUACGUAGGGUGCAAGCGUUAAUCGGAAUUACUGGGCGUAAAGCGUGCGCAGGCGGUUAUGUAAGAUAGAUGUGAAAUACCCGGGCUCAACCUGGGGAAUGCAUUUAUGCCUGCCUAGCUAGAGUACGGUAGAGGGGGAUGGAAUUCCGCGUGUAGCAGGGAAAUGCGUAGAUAUGCUGAGGAACACCGAUGGCGAAGGCAAUCCCCUGGACCUGUACUGACGCUCAUGCACGAAAGCGUGGGGAGCAAACAGGAUUAGAUACCCUGGCAGUCCACGCCCUAAACGAUGUCAACUGGUUGUUGGGUCUUCACUGACUCAGUAACGAAGCUAACGCGUGAAGUUGACCGCCUGGGGAGUACGGCCGCAAGGUUGAAACUCAAAUGAAUUGACGGGG